UGGGCAACCUGCCCUCAGCUCUGGGAUAACUCCAAGAAAUUGGUGCUAAUGCCGGAUGUGACCGCUGACCGCAUGGUCUGGUGGUGGAAAGAUUCAUCGGCUGAGGAUGGGCCCGCGGCCUAUCAGCUUGUUGGUGGGGUGAUGGCCCACCAAGGCGACGACGGGUAGCCGGCCUGAGAGGGUGACCGGCCACACUGGGACUGAGACACGGCCCAGACCUCUACGGGAG
rnacentral:rRNA from 1 species